UACAGGGGGUGCAAGCGUUGUUCGGAAUCACUGGGCGUAAAGGGAGCGUAGGCGGAAUUGCAAGACAGAGGUUAAAUGUCCGGGCUCAACCUGGAACCUGCCUUUGUGACUGCAGUUCUUGAGUAUGGCAGAGGCUAGUGGAAUUACAGGUGUAGCGGUGGAAUGCGUAGAUAUCUGUAAGAACACCAGAGGCGAAGGCGACUAGCUGGGCCAAUACUGACGCUGAGGCUCGAAAGUGUGGGGAGCAAAC
rnacentral:rRNA from 1 species